rnacentral:rRNA from 1 species
GUGGGGAAUCUUCCGCAAUGGGCGAAAGCCUGACGGAGCAACGCCGCGUGAGUGAUGACGGCCUUCGGGUUGUAAAGCUCUGUUAUAUGGGACGAACGGGCAUGGGGCCAAUACCCUCAUGCAGUGACGGUACCGUAAGAGAAAGCCACGGCUAACUACGUGCCAGCAGCCGCGGUAAUACGUAGGUGGCAAGCGUUGUCCGGAAUUAUUGGGCGUAAAGGGCGUGUAGGCGGCCAGACAAGUCUGUCUUAAAAGUGCGGGGCUCAACCCCGUGAUGGGAUGGAAACUGUCGGGCUAGAGUGUCGGAGAGGAAAGCGGAAUUCCUAGUGUAGCGGUGAAAUGCGUAGAUAUUAGGAGGAACACCAGUGGCGAAAGCGGCUUUCUGGACGACAACUGACGCUGAGGCGCGAAAGCCAGGGGAGCAAACGGGAUUAGAAACCCCUGUAGUCC